UGCAGCUCCAUCGGGAGGGGGAGAUGAUGGUGAUGAGUAGGUGCCACCUGUUCAGGAGAAUGUCCCUCCACCCAGUCCUACCGUGAGUGCGGCAGAAAUGCAUAAGCGUAAGGCAGCCACCACCAAAGGAAGUAACAGGCAUGUAUGGUGAAAAGUGUAACACUUUCAAUUGUGGAAAAGCAUAUCCACUUCUUAGUGUCAAUUUUGCUUGCUCUCCUUAGCCCCCGGCCAGAAAAGCAUGGACGGGAAUCGUCACCGCCCUCCACAGCUAGUCCUUCUCUGUCAAGGCCAUCAUCACCAGCGGGUACUAUUGGUGCCACUACCCAGCAAGUUGAUGUGCUGGCGAAGCCCAAGGUCAAGGAGCCGAGUGCUGCAGGGGUGAUUCCGCCCCUAAAAGUGCUGAGACCUAAGAAGCUCCCCAUAAAGAAGUCGACCAGCAAAGCAGUCGAUCUUGGGUUGGGUGGUCUUGGGCAACCUGGCCCUGCCCCAACCCCCGGCCGAAGACUUCAGAAACCACGCCUGGAGCUGCCUCAGGCCAAUCUGCAGGAUCCGCGGAGGUGGCCCCCGAAGCUGAAUCAGAGAAGCAGAAGGGGAUUGAGGCUGCUGCCCCACCCGUGGGUGCGGAUUCCCUGCCAGCUCCAGGAGAGGAUAAGGACACCAGCAUCAUCCUCCAUGAUUCCACUGUGCUUCCAUAAGUCGAGCAAGCGGUUCUUGGAAAACAACAAGAGUUGCUAAUGCUACCGGCCAAAGAAGCGACAUCUUAUAAGGAGGAAAUACUCAAGAGCCAACAAUUUCUAAGUGAAAUUGCCGAACAAGCUGUCGCUAGAGCUCAAGGACUCCUCCAAGCUGGAGAAGAUCUACAAUUAUCCACAGACCAAGGACUUCAAUUCCAAGAAAUUGCAGAUCUUCGAGGAGAGAUGGAGAGAGUGAAGGCAGAGAGUGCUGGGCAGAUUGAUCGCCUGCAAGGGAAGAACAAGACUCUGCAGGAGAAAAAUAAGAAUUUGGCGAAGAGUCACAAAGAACUCAAAAAUUUGUUAGUAACAAAAGAAGAUCUGGUGACUGAGUUGAUGAAUCUUGUGUACCGUCACACAGAUGAAGUGGAGAAGCUGUCCAAGAUCCAGGCUAACAGCGACACUUGUCGAUUGCAUGCAAAAGAUCAAGGACUUGGCAGCUGAAAGGGAUUCCCAGGCUAAGGAACUAGCCGACAUCAAGAUAGCAACGCAGGCGGUAGUCGACAUGGUGGAUCCAAUCGAAGAUGGAGCUGCUGGAGAAAAGUCUUUGAUGGAGCGACUACAUGGCGCCCCCCAGAAGAUUGCCAGCUAUCUGUCAGAGACCUCCAAGCAAUAUAUGGCGCAUGUCUUGGGGUUGGUGAGGUCCUACUGGCCUGUGGCGAACUUAACUCCACUUGGCGAUGGGCUAGCAGCAGGUUGCUCAAAGGAGCAAUUUGCUCAAUAUGUCGAAGAAGUUAAGCCCAUUGCUGACAAAGUUGUAGAUAGUUUGGAGCAGCCAGCAGAGGGUGAAGCUUGAACUUGUUUUUGUCCUAUGUAUGAAUUGUGCUACUCGUGACCCGUGAAUGUUUGUAAAAGUUACUUUGCCUUUGUGUCUGCGAUCACUUUAUGUCACUCCCUGUGCUCUGUCCAACUUUCUUGUUGUCGCAUAGUGUAAA